GCCUGGGUGGCUCAGUCGGUUAAGCGUCCGACUUCAGCUCGGGUCAUGAUCUCACGGUUUGUGGGUUCGAGCCCUGCGUCGGGCU
rnacentral:tRNA from 1 species